rnacentral:lncRNA from 1 species
CCUGAGGUUGUCAUGACUGUAGGGAGGUCACAGGGAUGGAGAAACUAAGUGAACACAAACCCUAAGCCCACACACCCUGUUUUGAGGCAUGGUUUGUAAAAACUACAUGUCAAAAGUAGAGACUUGGAUGACUCUGGGUGGUGGGUACUUAGAGCCAUUGCAGGGGCUGCACAGUAAGAUAGUGAGGUCUUGGGUUCUGAGACUUAUGGGUCUAUUUUCAGCCUGUCUGUAGAAUGGAGAGUCUGGAGAAGUUAGUGGUGACAAAGAGGACACCUCAAGUGAUGAUCACCUUGGAACAGCACAGCCACCUCACAGCACACCCUUUGAUACCUUGUUGUCCAUUGUUGUGCAUAAAGUGAAAUGGUCUUGGGGUUGUCUUUACUUGUUGGCAUAAUAAAAAGAGAUCCUUGUGCA